UACGGGGGGGGCAAGCGUUGUUCGGAAUUACUGGGCGUAAAGAGCGCGCAGGCGGCUGGUCAAGUCCGAUGUGAAAGCUCCCGGCUUAACUGGGAAAUUGCAUCGGAAACUGAUCGGCUGGAAGGUGGGAGAGGGUAGCGGAAUUCCCGGUGUAGUGGUGAAACGCGUAGAUAUCGGGAGGAACACCAGUGGCGAAAGCGGCUACCUGGCCCAUUCUUGACGCUGAGGCGCGAAAGCUAGGGGAGCAAACGGG
rnacentral:rRNA from 1 species